CAGGAGAUUGCAAACUAUGUAAUUACUUUAGAAAGGAGUAUGCCCCAUUCAGGGGCUGCAACAAAAAAUGCAUUUAAUUAUUUCAGCCAGUGUUAAAGUGAAAAAACUAGUGAUUACUUACGCUGCUGGUUCCUACAACUUCUUUUGCUUAUAAAUGCAAUUUUCUAGAAUCAGAUUUGCCAUGCCUAGCAAGUGUUUCUCUCUCCUGAAAGUGAAAGCAUAUGAGAGCUUUAUUUUCUAAGUGCUUCCAUAAGCUCAUUAAAUAGCUUCUCAAAAAUGUUUUCCGGUUUCAGUGACCUAAAUGUUAGUGUGUCUUGACUCUAUAUCCACGAGUCAUUUACCAACAGUUCUGACAGGCGUGUAUUUGUGGCUUCACUUGUAAGUUGAAAGCAGCUUUGUUAAUUCUCAUGGUCCUAAAAUAUAUCACAGUUGCAGAGCUCCUUCUGUUAAAGCUAAUGGUCUUUUUCCAGUAGUAGUUUGUUCUGAGCCUAAUUACUAAUCUUUAAAGGUUGGUGGUUAGGAGGUUUGAGAUAAUCCCAGAGAAAUGAUCCAACACACAGAAACCUCUACAAGUUACUUAACAGAGUGCUGUUCUGAGUAAUAGAGGUAAUAGAAGAAUUAAAAUUUAGAUUGGCCUUAUUAGGUCUUGGCAAGCCCCAAAUUUGAGCGUCUACUUGAAAAAGGAAUAAAGUAGCCCAAAAGCAGUUAUUUGUGCAUUUUAAUAUGAUAGUGAUGGAUUAAAUUAAUCCACAUUUUAGGUUACUCUAAAAUUUAGAUGAGUUAAUUUCGGAUAGUCUUGAUUUUAACUCAUAUUAUCUGGUGACUUUCCUACCACGACCAUUUUACUGAUUUGUAGACUCCAAAAAUUUCUACCAGAAGUGUGGUGCCCUUAUUAGGCUUCUCACCCACAGCCUUGGUUGGGGCACAGUUCAGUACGAUUCUUCCAUUGCAGCAGCUAGCUUCAAAAAAUAACUUAUUCCCAUUUGUUCAUUCUCCUAUGCCAGCAGCCAGUGGUGAACGUGAGUAUGAAGCUGGGGAAAGAAAGAAAAAGCAUAAAUUUUGUUUUCUGCAAAUGAGUUGGUAAAAAUUGAUGGGACCCUGAAAGUUAUUUAUGUAUGCAAACAAGCAAGGGAACACCAAGGGAAGAUGAACAGAAGAAAUCUUGGAGAUACUGUGUGAAAGUCUUGUAGAGGAAUGCCAUCCUUUUGCCUUCCAAGAUGAACAAUCGAUGAGACACCACAAGUCCUCUGGUGACAAAAUAAAGCAGUCUAAUUCCUGAAUACCUCAAGUACGUCAGAGCUGCAGUGUGUGCCGCCUGCGGAAUGACCUCUGUGCAGUGUCUAAGCAACAUGCUCCAUCUAAGAAAGGUAGUUCAAAGGUUUCUGCUUUAUGGUGUUUGUACAUAGAUGCUAGGAACUUAAGGUAGUAGGAAUUUGUUUGGUACUGCUGAGCUACACUUCCGUUCCUCAUACAUCCCAAAUCCCAGAGCUAUGAGUAUGGCUGAAGAAAUCAAAUUUUGGAGCUUGGAGGGGAAAAAAAUGAAGUUUAAACAGUACCAGCAGAGUUCAGAAGCCAAUGGGUAAGAGCAGCCUGCCUCUGGAGAGAGGAGCUGCCGCAGCAGUGGCAGUGCUUGGCCUGGCACCUCCCUGUGUACGCAGGGAUCGCCGUGGGCACCUCCCACUGACCAGACCUGCCUUCCUAGACAAAGCGCUUUAUUUAAAUGCACGUAGCAAUUAAGGAUUUCUCAAUUCUUGAGAGCAAAGUCACAUGAUGCUUUAUCAAAACCAGAACAAACUUCUCAGAGUAUGUUGGCAAACACCAAAGUUGGGAACCUGGAAGCUGAAGAAUUAACAUAAAAGGGAAGGAAUUCAGACUUCCAUAGGUACGGAGUGUGCUGGUCUGGAAAUGUUACUAAACAACAGAAAGCAACAACAAUUCAUUAAAUAGUGCCAAUUCUCUUUCGCCAGGUAUCAAUGGACAAAACUCUGCCCAUGAAAAAUGAGGUACUUGGGCUGUGUGAUGAGGCACUUUGGGAGAGUCUGAAUAUCCUAAUGUAGCUUAGUAAGGGAAAACUACAGUUAACAAUUUUGAUGAGCUGAUGCAACAGUAACAGGACAAUUAGAAUUGAUGUUUACUUCCCCGAUGUCAUCAUAUGAAGUUAUUUCCAUUUCUUGUUUCAUGUCAUCUUCGAUAUUUCAGUUUUUACACGCUUUCUCUACCUUGGUGACACAUCUGGCCUGUACAGGAAAUCACAG
ensembl:lncRNA